rnacentral:lncRNA from 1 species
ACAGCAAGCCACAUAGCCAUUGCUUUUGUUACCAAAGAUGAAUUAGUAGGUUUUAUUGCAGAGCUUCCGUAAACUCGAAUAUAGUGCCUUCUUUGCUAGAGAAGCCCUACCUUAUUCCAGUCUUUUCGGUUGGCAGUUUCCAUGAAGCAUUCUGAUAAGAACUGAAAUGUUUAUUGAUGAAUAUCCAUCCAACCGUCCCCUCUUGAUCUUCACAUGCGAAGAAUCAAGCUUCACAAUGUACUUCUACAAUUGCUUAAAACUAACAAAUGUAUUAUGAGUCCUUUAUAUACUCAUGCUUAUUUACAAAAUAUCUAGUCUAUCAAA